UCCGGUUUGGCACCGGCAGUCUCCCUAGAGUUCCCGGCAUCACCCGCUGGCAACUAAGGACAGGGGUUGCGCUCGUUGCGCCACUUAAGGCAACACCUCACGACACGAGCUGACGACAGCCAUGCACCACCUGCGAUCCUGCCCCGAAGGGAAGCCCUGUUUCCGGAGCGGUCAGGAACAUGUCAAGCCCAGGUAAGGUUCUUCGCGUUGCGUCGAAUUAAACCACAUGCUCCGCUGCUUGUGCGGGUCCCCGUCAAUUCCUUUGAGUUUUAGCCUUGCGGCCGUACUCCCCAGGCGGGGCACUUAAUGCGUUAGCUGCGGCACCCAGGGGGUCAAUACCCCGGACACCUAGUGCCCAUCGUUUACAGCGUGGACUAC
rnacentral:misc_RNA from 1 species